AGAGCUUAGACGUGGCUCAGGAAUACGCUAUCUAGUGGGUUACACAUGCAAGUCAUAUGAAGAUAACCAGCUGGCGUUCUUUUGCCAUAUGCCCUUCAUGGCGACCGGGUGAGUACCAAAUAGGAAUCUACCUUCAGGAUGGGUUCAAUGCCCAUAAUUCAAAAGGAACUUUUCCGCCUGCAGAUGAGCCUAUCCUGUAAUAGAUAGUUGGUGGUGGUAACGGCCUACCAAGUCUAUGAUGCAUAGUUGGUUUGAGAGAACGGCCAACCACAGUGGCACUGAAACAAGGGUCACCCGAGGAAUGCUCGGCAGCAGUGAGGAAUAUUGGACAAUGAGGGCAACCUUGAUCCAGCCAACUAGAAGGGUCUUACCUAAUCCCGUACAAACCCUACCGGAGAGGAGCAUAAUGAGUAAACUCUCCUAUCAGUCCCGACCAACCUCGUGCCAGCAGUCGCGGUAAUACGAGGGGGGCUAGCGUUAUCCGUCUUUAAUGGGCCUAGAGUGUCUGUAGGCUGCCCGCAAAGGUUAACUGAACUCCGGUCCGGUGCCUACUUUGCCACCAGGCCUGCCCCGGCCUGAGGACCAAGGGCCCUCAGUCCUUGGGCCGAGGGUGGGCUGGACUUGUUGGCCUGGACCUUACAACUUGCGAGCUAGAGUGUUAUGGGGGGAUCAGGGAACUCCAGGAGUAGGGAUAGAAUCCGAUGAUCCCUGGAGGACCGCUACGGCGAAGGCCCUAUCCUUAGUAACCACUGACGCUUAGACGACGAAAGUGUGGGGAGCGAAGAGGAUUAGAUACCCUCGUAGUCCACACCUUAAACGAUGGAGGCUAUAGGUUGGGACCCUUCCGACCUUCGGGUAGGCAGGGUAAGCUCUCACCCUAGAAGCGAAGGCAUUAAGCUUCCCGCCUGGGGAGUAUGAAGGCAACUUUGAAACCCAAACGUCUAGACGGCCCUGAAGACCAGCAGUGAAGCAUGUUGUUUAAAUCGAUACCCCGCGAAGAACCUCACCACUCCUUGUAUGCUACACAGGUGCUACAUGGCUGCCGCCAGUUCAUGUCGCGAGAUGUAAGGUUAAUUCCGCUAAUGAACGAAACCCCUCCUUUUAGUUAAACCUAUCAAAUUUUCUAGCAGGGUACUAGCCAAUAAGGCUGGUUAAGGGGACGACGACAAGCCCUCAUGGCCCUUAUGGAGUGGGCUAUAGUAACGUGCCACAAAUUCUUUAACAAUGGGAGGCAAUGGUGUGAGCCGGAGGGAACCCCUAACGGAAGAUAAUGGUUCGGAUUGUAGACUGAAACUCGUCUGCAUGAAGAAGGAAUUGCUAGUAAUCACGGAUCAGCACGCCGCGGUGAAAGUUCCUUUUGGGUGCGCCCUUACUGUCCGUCAGGUGGGGGGAGUCGAGGCCUUUCGAAGCUGCUUAAAUUCUCUUAGGAGUAAGUUGUAUUCUCUUAGUUCCUAUUAGGACCUCUAAUGCAGUUAGAAGGCUUUGGUGACCUCGAUUAAGUCGUAGCAAGGUAGGGGUUUGGGAACGAGCCCCUGAAACGUAU
rnacentral:rRNA from 1 species